rnacentral:rRNA from 1 species
GACGAACGCUGGCGGCGUGCCUAAUACGUGCAAGUCGAGCGGACUGAAUGGGAGCUUGCUCUUGUUCGGUCAGCGGCGGACGGGUGAGUAACACGUGGGCAACCUGCCCGCAAGACCGGGAUAACUCCGGGAAACCGGAGCUAAUACCGGAUAACACCGAAGACCGCAUGGUCUUUGGUUGAAAGGCGGCGCAAGCUGCCACUUGCGGAUGGGCCCGCGGCGCAUUAGCUAGUUGGUGAGGUAACGGCUCACCAAGGCGACGAUGCGUAGCCGGCCUGAGAGGGUGACCGGCCACACUGGGACUGAGACACGGCCCAGACUCCUACGGGAGGCAGCAGUAGGGAAUCUUCCGCAAUGGGCGAAAGCCUGACGGAGCGACGCCGCGUGAGCGAAGAAGGCCUUCGGGUCGUAAAGCUCUGUUGUGAGGGACGAAGGAGCGCCGUUUGAAGAAGGCGGCGCGGUGACGGUACCUCACGAGGAAGCCCCGGCUAACUACGUG